rnacentral:rRNA from 1 species
AGCAUAUCAAUAAGCGGAGGAAAAGAAAAUAACAAUGAUUCCCCUAGUAACUGCGAGUGAAGAGGGACAAGCUCAAAUUUUAAAUCUGUCAGGUUUCACCUGACCGAGUUGUAAUUUGAAGAAGCGUUUUCUGCGCGGUUGGUCAGCCCAAGUCCUAUUGAAUGAGGCAUCAUGGAGGGUGAUAAUCCCGUCCGGUUGAUCGAUGCGUUUUACGAUACGCUCUCAAAGAGUCAAGUUGUUUGGGAUUGCAGCUUAAAAUGGGAGGUAAAUUUCUCCUAAGGCUAAAUAUUGGCGAGAGACCGAUAGCGAACAAGUACCGUGAGGGAAAGAUGAAAAGUACUUUGAAAAGAGAGUUAAAUAGCACGUGAAAUUGUUGAAAGGGAAACGAUUGAAGCCAGUCGUACCGGCGGAUAAUCAGCCUUUCGGGUGCGAUUCUGUGGGGCGUGAGGAGCUUAACCGCCUUCAUGUUUUGCAUAUUCGUGCACAUUUGGUGUACUUGUCCGUGUGGUGGGUUAACAUCAAUUUCGGUCGUCAUAAAAUGAUUGGAGGAAUGUAGCUUUGAUCUCGUAUCGAAGUGUUAUAGACUCUGGUAGAUGUGACGAUUGGGAUUGAGGAUUGCAACGGAUACCCUUCGGGGCUACCCGUCUGAUCUCUGAAGGUUGCUCCGGUGCCGAAAGCGUGCUUACGGUCAUCGAAAGUGGUUUUCAAAAGGUUAGAACGGGUUAAAUUCGUUAAGGAUGUUGACGUAAUGGCUUUAAACGACCCGUCU